rnacentral:tRNA from 1 species
CGCGUCGUAGGUCAUGGCCGGCUGCCGUCCUCGACGACGGCGGGGGUCUCGCCCUCGGCCUCGCCGGGCUCGGCGCCCGCCGUGGCGC